AGGACGAACGCUGGCGGCGUGCUUAACACAUGCAAGUCAAGGGGGCCCAGCAAUGGGCAACCGGCGAACGGGUGCGUAACACGUGAGCAACCUACCGAAAUGUGGGGGGUAGCCGGCCUAACGGCCGAGUAAUACCGCAUACGCUCUCGAUGAGGCAUUUCAUUGAGAGGAAACCUACGGGACAUUUCGAGGGGCUCGCGGCCUAUCAGCUAGUUGGCGAGGUAACGGCUCACCAAGGCAACGAAGGGU
rnacentral:rRNA from 1 species